rnacentral:rRNA from 1 species
ACGGAGGGUGCAAGCGUUAAUCGGAAUUACUGGGCGUAAAGAGUGCGUAGGUGGUUAAUUAAGUUAUCUGUGAAAUCCCUGGGCUCAACCUGGGCAGGUCAGAUAAAACUGGUUAACUCGAGUAUGGGAGAGGGUAGUGGAAUUUCCGGUGUAGCGGUGAAAUGCGUAGAGAUCGGAAGGAACACCAGUGGCGAAGGCGGCUACCUGGCCCAAUACUGACACUGAGGCACGAAAGCGUGGGGAGCAAACAGGAUUAGAUACCCUGGUAGUCCACGCCGUAAACGAUGUCAACUAGCUGUUGGAUAUAUGAAUAUAUUUAGUGGCGAAGCUAACGCGAUAAGUUGACCGCCUGGGGAGUACGGUCGCAAGAUUA